GAUUAACGCUGGCGGCGUGCAUAACACAUGCAAGUCGAACGAUGAAACUUUACUGACUUCUUCGGAAUGAUUUAAAUCUUAUUCGUUGCGAACGGUUUAGUAACGCUUGAGUAACCUGCCUUACACAAGGGGAUAGCCUCUGGAAACGGAGAAUACUACCCUAUGAAACCAGACACUCGCCUGCUAAUCUGGUCACACUGUUUCGUGGUGUCCGAUGGCCUUGCGUCUGCUUAGCUAGUUGGUGAGAUAAAAGCUCACCAAGGCAACGAUCAGUAGCCGGCUUGAGAGAGUGUACGGCCACAUUGGGACUGAGACACGGCCCAGACUCCUACGGGAGGCAGCAGUGGGGAAUUUUGCACAAUGGGGGAAAACCUGAUGCAGCGACGCCGCGUGAUUUAGAAGGCCUUCGGGUUGUAAAAAUCUUUUGUAUAGGAAGAAAAUGACAGUACUAUACGAAUAAGGUCCGGCUAAUUACGUG
rnacentral:rRNA from 1 species